rnacentral:miRNA from 12 species
CCAGUAUUGAAAGUGCUGCUCCA